AAGGUCAUGUACUUGGACUGUUUUUCAUUUCAUGAACAUCUGGGCUUAUGAGAUUAACAGAACAGUAUAGCAUUGCCUUCUUUUUGGUCUCUUUUAUUAAUAACUUGUGAAUAACACUUGUCUUCUACCAUGUGGAUUAUACUUCUGUUGGGGUAAUUUCCUCACUAUAGUAAUGGCUGCUAGUUAACCCCUUACUCACAACUGCUGCUGCUACCAGCUCAGAUGUAUUUCUUCUUAUGUUCAGAUAUAUUGUCCUGUAUGUUUCCAUUGGGUAGGAACAGGUCAUUUCCCCAAACACAGGCAUCUUGCACCAUUUCCACAUAAGGAAUCCCACCUGGGAUCCAGCUGUCACUCUUCUGGAGGAGGCCUGGGGCUCCUGGAGGUCAUCUGGUGUAUCCCCCAGCCCUGUGCAAAUGUCCCUGAGGCUGAAGAACAUCUCCCAUGUCCCUGCAUUUGAGGAAUGAGGAGCAAACAGAUUUGAAGGAUGAACAGACACUCCAGCCAACUCUUCUGAGAAGACUGGGGAUUCUGCCUCUGCAAUGGCAAGAGAAAUGGAUUAUUGAAACAGGAACUGUAGCACCUGUGCUCUUGGCUCAUCAAAGGAAGCAAUACUAGAAGGUGCCAAAUGCACUUUAAUUUUUUUAAAUAAAAGCUCAGUAGAAUUGCUCCAAUUCAGCUGGAGAAAGAAGCCUCAGGAACACUGCAGAACCAAGUGUCCUCUACAGCCCACCAGGAAGGACUGUAGGGACUCUUCACAAAUUACAUACUACAAGGUAUUGCUGGAUCUGGGAGAGGAUGUUUGCAGAGUCUGUAACUUUUGCACAUUUCCAUUCUGCCUGAGCCUCCCUUCAUCUCUCUGCGGUUGAGAAGUGAAGAAAAAGCUGCUGUUGGCAGAAUUCGCUUUUGUGCUGAGAUUUGGCCUGAGGAGCUCAAGGGUGUGUUUUGGUGAGGUUUGCUUCAGUCUCUUACUUCCUCCAAGGGCGAUGUAGAGUGGAAGAAAGUGAUGCCAUGCUGCACUUCACAACACCAGUGACAGUGGGAGAGUGAUAAAACAACCAGGAGCAAGAGGAAAAGAGCUGUUACUUCCCUCUGUCCCACACGUGGCAAUUCUCCUAUGCAAAGUUUACUGACAGUGUGGCACUCCAAAUUACAUUAAGGAGCAACAGUCAUUUUACUCAUGACAGAGUUGAAAGCAGCUUUUUUCACACCCUGAUGACAACUGGAUGCACAUUACUGCUCCCUUAGACCUUUAGAAGCAUUCAGGCUUGUGUAUUUCUGUACAUUCUCUGACAACCUAACAGGUAAGUGGCUGCAAAAACCCCAAAUACUCU